rnacentral:lncRNA from 1 species
AAAAAUCAAUACCGUUGGCAAAUACUGUUCAUCAUAGUUGUAUCGUUUCAAGUCUUCACAAAUAUGGUGUAUGUGCUUUAUGGUAAAGGGACAGUACAGAAAUGGAACUUCUACGGAGAAGUUGACAAGCAGGAGACACAAUCGUUGAAUGAAAAUAAAUAAAUAAAUAAAU